rnacentral:rRNA from 1 species
AUACGAAGGUCCCGAGCGUUGUUCGGAAUCACUGGGCGUAAAGGGAGCGUAGGCGGCGUGGUAAGUCAGAUGCGAAAUCCCGGAGCUCAACCCCGGAACUGCAUCCGAUACUGCCGUGCUAGAGUUUUGGAGAGGUAGCUGGAAUUCACGGUGUAGCAGUGAAAUGCGUAGAUAUCGUGAGGAACACUCGUGGCGAAAGCGAGCUACUGGACAACAACUGACGCUGAGGCUCGAAGGCCAGGGUAGC